ensembl:snoRNA
ACCCCCAGUGAUUUGCUGCUAUUAUCUGUCAGUGAUGUGAGCAGUUAUACGCAUGGGACAAAAUACACGAGACUCUUGCAAAUUGAGAUGAAAGUAAUCAUUUUCUCUCUUCUGUGUGGUCUGGACAUUG